rnacentral:rRNA from 1 species
UACGUAGGGUGCAAGCGUUGUCCGGAAUUAUUGGGCGUAAAGAGCUCGUAGGCGGUUUGUUGCGUCGGCUGUGAAAACCUGAGGCUCAACCCCGGGCCUGCAUUCGAUACGGGCAGACUAGAGUUCGGUAGGGGAGUCUGGAAUUCCUGGUGUAGCGGUGAAAUGCGCAGAUAUCAGGAGGAACACCGGUGGCGAAGGCGGGACUCUGGGCCGAUACUGACGCUGAGGAGCGAAAGCGUGGGGAGCAAACAGG